rnacentral:rRNA from 1 species
AACGAACGCUGGCGGCAUGCCUAACACAUGCAAGUCGAACGAGACCUCCGGGCCUAGUGGCGCACGGGGGCGGACCGCGUGGGAACCAGCCCUUAGGUUCGGAAUAACUCCCCGAAAGGGGUGCUAAGACCGGAUAAUGUCAUCGGACCAACGAUGUAUGGCCGUGGGAUGGGCCCGGGUUGGAUUAGUUAGUUGGUAGGGUAAUAGCCGGGCAAGGCGACGUUGCUUAGCUGGUCGGAGAGGAUGCCCAGCAACGCUUGGACUGAGACACGGCCUAGACUCCUACGGAAGGGUGCAGAGGAGUACAUUGUACGAGGGGCGAAGGCGUGAUACAGCCGCGCCGGGGAAGUGAGGCUGGGCGUAGUGUAGUACAGCCGCUUUACCCGGGGCGAUAGUGACGGUACCGGGAGAAUAAGCACCGGCUAACUACGUG